UCGUACGCUUCUUUUUCCACCGGAGCUUGCUCCACCGGAAAAAGAAGAGUGGCGAACGGGUGAGUAACACGUGGGUAACCUGCCCAUCAGAAGGGGAUAACACUUGGAAACAGGUGCUAAUACCGUAUAACAAUCGAAACCGCAUGGUUUUGAUUUGAAAGGCGCUUUCGGGUGUCGCUGAUGGAUGGACCCGCGGUGCAUUAGCUAGUUGGUGAGGUAACGGCUCACCAAGGCCACGAUGCAUAGCCGACCUGAGAGGGUGAUCGGCCACAUUGGGACUGAGACACGGCCCAAACUCCUACGGGAGGCAGCAGUAGGGAAUCUUCGGCAAUGGACGAAAGUCUGACCGAGCAACGCCGCGUGAGUGAAGAAGGUUUUCGGAUCGUAAAACUCUGUUGUUAGAGAAGAACAAGGAUGAGAGUAACUGUUCAUCCCUUGACGGUAUCUAACCAGAAAGCCACGGCUAACUACGUGCCAGCAGCCGCGGUAAUACGUAGGUGGCAAGCGUUGUCCGGAUUUAUUGGGCGUAAAGCGAGCGCAGGCGGUUUCUUAAGUCUGAUGUGAAAGCCCCCGGCUCAACCGGGGAGGGUCAUUGGAAACUGGGAGACUUGAGUGCAGAAGAGGAGAGUGGAAUUCCAUGUGUAGCGGUGAAAUGCGUAGAUAUAUGGAGGAACACCAGUGGCGAAGGCGGCUCUCUGGUCUGUAACUGACGCUGAGGCUCGAAAGCGUGGGGAGCAAACAGGAUUAGAUACCCUGGUAGUCCACGCCGUAAACGAUGAGUGCUAAGUGUUGGAGGGUUUCCGCCCUUCAGUGCUGCAGCUAACGCAUUAAGCACUCCGCCUGGGGAGUACGACCGCAAGGUUGAAACUCAAAGGAAUUGACGGGGGCCCGCACAAGCGGUGGAGCAUGUGGUUUAAUUCGAAGCAACGCGAAGAACCUUACCAGGUCUUGACAUCCUUUGACCACUCUAGAGAUAGAGCUUCCCCUUCGGGGGCAAAGUGACAGGUGGUGCAUGGUUGUCGUCAGCUCGUGUCGUGAGAUGUUGGGUUAAGUCCCGCAACGAGCGCAACCCUUAUUGUUAGUUGCCAUCAUUUAGUUGGGCACUCUAGCAAGACUGCCGGUGACAAACCGGAGGAAGGUGGGGAUGACGUCAAAUCAUCAUGCCCCUUAUGACCUGGGCUACACACGUGCUACAAUGGGAAGUACAACGAGUCGCGAAGUCGCGAGGCUAAGCUAAUCUCUUAAAGCUUCUCUCAGUUCGGAUUGUAGGCUGCAACUCGCCUACAUGAAGCCGGAAUCGCUAGUAAUCGCGGAUCAGCACGCCGCGGUGAAUACGUUCCCGGGCCUUGUACACACCGCCCGUCACACCACGAGAGUU
rnacentral:rRNA from 1 species